rnacentral:snoRNA from 1 species
CCAACGUGACAUCCAAUAGGUUGGCCCCUAUUGGCUCUGUCUUAAUGGUGUAUGGGAGCUGAGUGUCUAGUACACAUCUUACUGAUGUCUAUUCCCUUACCAUGGCGUUGGAGAUUAAAACCAUCCCCAGUUAAUUCUGGUAUGGUGUGGUGUACUGCAUAUUCCUUGUGCUUCCUAGAGUCAUUCUGUGACCUUUACUAGGGAGAUAAACCAUGCAGUGAACAGUC